GACGAACGCUGGCGGCGUGCCUAGUACAUGCAAGUAGAACGCUGAAGGAGGAGCUUGCUCUUCUGGAUGAGUUGCGAACGGGUGAGUAACGCGUAGGUAACCUGCCUGGUAGCGGGGGAUAACUAUUGGAAACGAUAGCUAAUACCGCAUAAGAGUAGAUGUUGCAUGACAUUUACUUAAAAGGUGCAAUUGCAUCACUACCAGAUGGACCUGCGUUGUAUUAGCUAGUUGGUGGGGUAACGGCUUACCAAGGCGACGAUACAUAGCCGACCUGAGAGGGGGCUCGGCCACACUGGGACUGAGACACGGCCCAGACUCCUACGGGAGGCAGCAGUAGGGAAUCUUCGGCAAUGGACGGAAGUCUGACCGAGCAACGCCGCGUGAGUGAAGAAGGUUUUCGGAUCGUAAAGCUCUGUUGUAAGAGAAGAACGAGUGUGAGAGUGGAAAGUUCACACUGUGACGGUAUCUUACCAGAAAGGGACGGCUAACUACGUG
rnacentral:rRNA from 1 species